UACGAAGGGGGCUAGCGUUGUUCGGAUUUACUGGGCGUAAAGCGCACGUAGGCGGAUCGUUAAGUCGGGGGUGAAAUCCUGGAGCUCAACUCCAGAACUGCCUUCGAUACUGGCGAUCUUGAGUCCGGAAGAGGUGAGUGGAACUCCUAGUGUAGAGGUGGAAUUCGUAGAUAUUCGCAAGAACACCAGUGGCGAAGGCGGCCAACUGGUCCGGUACUGACGCUGAGGUGCGAAAGCGAUGGGGAGCAA
rnacentral:rRNA from 1 species